rnacentral:tRNA from 1 species
GCCUGGGUGGCUCAGUCGGUUGAGCAUCUGACUUCAGCUCAGGUCAUGAUCUUGCAGUCCGUGAGUUCGAGCCCCGCGUCGGGCU